GGGUGAUUAGCUCAGCUGGGAGAGCAUCUGCCUUACAAGCAGAGGGUCGGCGGUUCGAUCCCGUCAUCACCC
rnacentral:tRNA from 1 species